CGGCAUCGGCGGGAUGAUCUUCUCCUACCUGGUUGCGUUGCCGCAUGAGCGUCGCCACCUCGAGCACCAGCAGCAGCACGCCGCGGCAGCUGGACACCACUAAAGUGCACCGUUCACCUGCCCCGAUCUCCCGAAGGUUCUCUUACGUUUGGAUGCUGGAACUGGAACUGGGCAUGCAUUGCUGCGUUCAUUUGGUCACUGGAACUUCUUCUCAUUUGCUUUUGAUGCAUAAACUGAUUAAUAAAUUCACUUUUUUGUGAACCAUUCUACUUUGUUUUUGCUAAAAUAACUGCCUGAAUACCCAAUUAUGGACUUAUAUGCAAUUUACAAUAUCUUUUCCUAUUGAA